UACGUAGGGGGCUAGCGUUGUCCGGAAUCAUUGGGCGUAAAGCGCGUGUAGGCGGCCCGGUAAGUCCGCUGUGAAAGUCGGGGGCUCAACCCUCGAAUGCCGGUGGAUACUGUCGGGCUAGAGUGCGGAAGAGGCGAGUGGAAUUCCUGGUGAUAGCGGUGAAAUGCGCAGAUAUCAGGAGGAACACCGAUUGCGAAGGCAGCUCGCUGGGACGUAACUGACGCUGAGACGCGAAAGCGUGGGGAGCAAACAGG
rnacentral:rRNA from 1 species